rnacentral:rRNA from 2 species
GUGGGUAGUUUGACUGGGGCGGUCUCCUCCUAAAGAGUAACGGAGGAGCACGAAGGUUGGCUAAUCCUGGUCGGACAUCAGGAGGUUAGUGCAAUGGCAUAAGCCAGCUUGACUGCGAGCGUGACGGCGCGAGCAGGUGCGAAAGCAGGUCAUAGUGAUCCGGUGGUUCUGAAUGGAAGGGCCAUCGCUCAACGGAUAAAAGGUACUCCGGGGAUAACAGGCUGAUACCGCCCAAGAGUUCAUAUCGACGGCGGUGUUUGGCACCUCGAUGUCGGCUCAUCACAUCCUGGGGCUGAAGUAGGUCCCAAGGGUAUGGCUGUUCGCCAUUUAAAGUGGUACGCGAGCUGGGUUUAGAACGUCGUGAGACAGUUCGGUCCCUAUCUGCCGUGGGCGCUGGAGAACUGAGGGGGGCUGCUCCUAGUACGAGAGGACCGGAGUGGACGCAUCACUGGUGUUCGGGUUGUCAUGCCAAUGGCACUGCCCGGUAGCUAAAUGCGGAAGAGAUAAGUGCUGAAAGCAUCUAAGCACGAAACUUGCCCCGAGAUGAGUUCUCCCUGAGACUUAGAGUCUCCUGAAGGAACGUUGAAGACGACGACGUUGAUAGGCCGGGUGUGUAAGCGCAGCGAUGCGUUGAGCUAACCGGUACUAAUGAACCGUGAGGCUUAACCUUACAACGC